rnacentral:rRNA from 1 species
AUACGGAGGAUGCGAGCGUUAUCCGGAUUUAUUGGGUUUAAAGGGUGCGCAGGCGGCCAUUUAAGUCAGCGGUUAAAUCGUGGGGCUCAACCCCAUUCUGCCGUUGAUACUGGGUGGCUUGAUUGCGGUCGAGGUUGGCGGACUUCGUUGUGUAGGGGUGAAAUGCAUAGAUAUGACGAAGAACACCGAAUGCGCAGGCAGCUGACCAGACCGCAAAUGACGCUCAUGCACGAAAGUGCGGGGAUCGAACAGGAUUGGAUACCCUGGUAGUCCGCACAGUAAACGAUGAAUACUUGUUUUCGGCGAUAUAAUGUCGGAGGCAAAGCGAAAGCGAUAAGUAUUCCACCUGGGGAGUACGCCGGCAACGGUGAAACUCAAAUGAAUUGACGGGG